GCCCUCUAGAACAGUAUGUGACCAGGAGAGCUGGGUGCAAAGUCACUAAGAGAUUACCUGCACCCACCUCCAGAGGUUGUGCCCCAUGCCCUGGCAGGCCUCGGCCCAGGGGUCCAGAGGGGGCAAGGCAGAUAACUACUCCUGGCAUCCCCGGCUGGUUCUGAUUGCUCCUGUGCCAAUUCAGUGGAGGCCUGGCUGUUUCUGCUGGAUGGCAUACCACUGCUGCUGACUCGAGUUUGGGAUCCUGACACUGCUGAACUGGACUGCAGCUAUCCUGACGAACAGAGAUUGAAAUUGCCCCUAAAGAACUACUUCUAAACAGGUAAACAGCACCAAGCUGCCUGGAGAGGAGAAGUUCUUAGCUGGAACCACACAGUCCCUCAGGACUGGCUCUACAAGUCACAGGACUGGCCUGACAUCAGCUUGAUCAAGUCUCCCAUAAAGCAUGUGAUUCCCAGUAGCUUGGACAAGGUGAAUGUGUCCAUCCCAACUAUGGGACCUCAUCAGAGCAUCCAGAGAACACACUGUGUGUCAUAUACUACAACGGGCUCUGAGGAGGCCCGAGUACCCACGUACUCAAGCAACAGUGGACCAGAGCAAAGACUUCAGGACUCCAAAGCUUCAGCUGCCACAGAAGCCAGGCAGAGCUGUCCUGGCUGACCUGGCCUGAGGUAUCUUGUUCCUCUUGAGGACUCAGCUUCCUGACCCAUGGAUAAGAACCUGGAACUGAGGUUUUCUCGACAUAGCACCAGCAGGCCUCAAACUCCAAUGUUUUCUUCAUCCCAAGACCUGUGGAUCCUGGAGCUUCAUUACAGAGUCAUCAGAAUGCUGCAAGAAGGGUCAUGCUACCCGAUCCAGUGAUAACAGAGAGGCUGGCGCCAUGUUCUCAGCAUCCACACUACUCAUCUCACUCAUCUCCCCACAUCCAGAGCCUUGGCACCGACCCACAGAACAGGAAACAGUCGCUGAAGAGCUGCAGAUACAAGGUCCUUCCCAGGCUAACCCCAGCCACCCAGGCCUUGACAGCUCAAACCCAGUCAGCCCCACAAGCCUGUUCCCUGUUCACUUCCUAUAGAGAGGCGGGAAGAGCAGGGAGGCAGGAUGAGGGCAUCCCAGGGCUCCCUCCUCCCCUCAGUGGAGCUGUUGCCCAAGGCCUGGGGAUGAUUUGUUUGCCCACAAAUCCAAAUAAGAUGACAAGCAAAUCGUCAGACUGGCUGAGAACGACACGUUAAUUAGGAAAUAAAAUCAGGGCCUCGGACAC
rnacentral:lncRNA from 1 species